rnacentral:rRNA from 1 species
GCGAGUUACGAUUUGAUGCAAGGUUAAGCAGUAAAUGUGGAGCCGUAGCGAAAGCGAGUCUGAAUAGGGCGUUUAGUAUUUGGUCGUAGACCCGAAACCAGGUGAUCUACCCUUGGUCAGGUUGAAGUUCAGGUAACACUGAAUGGAGGACCGAACCGACUUACGUUGAAAAGUGAGCGGAUGAACUGAGGGUAGCGGAGAAAUUCCAAUCGAACCUGGAGAUAGCUGGUUCUCUCCGAAAUAGCUUUAGGGCUAGCCUCAAGUGAUGAUUAUUGGAGGUAGAGCACUGUUUGGACGAGGGGCCCCUCUCGGGUUACCGAAUUCAGACAAACUCCGAAUGCCAAUUAAUUUAACUUGGGAGUCAGAACAUGGGUGAUAAGGUCCGUGUUCGAAAGGGAAACAGCCCAGACCACCAGCUAAGGUCCCAAAAUAUAUGUUAAGUGGAAAAGGAUGUGGCGUUGCCCAGACAACUAGGAUGUUGGCUUAGAAGCAGCCAUCAUUUAAAGAGUGCGUAAUAGCUCACUAGUCGAGUGACACUGCGCCGAAAAUGUACCGGGGCUAAACAUAUUACCGAAGCUGUGGAUUGUCCUUUGGACAAUGGUAGGAGAGCGUUCUAAGGGCGUUGAAGCAUGAUCGUAAGGACAUGUGGAGCGCUUAGAAGUGAG